rnacentral:rRNA from 1 species
UACGUAGGGUGCGAGCGUUGUCCGGAAUUAUUGGGCGUAAAGGGCUCGUAGGCGGUUUGUCGCGUCGGGAGUGAAAACCUCGGGCUUAACUCGGGGCUUGCUUUCGAUACGGGCAGACUAGAGGUAUGCAGGGGAGAACGGAAUUCCUGGUGUAGCGGUGAAAUGCGCAGAUAUCAGGAGGAACACCCGUGGCGAAGGCGGCUCUCUGGGACGGUACUGACGCUGAGACGCGAAAGCGUGGGGAGCGAACAGG